GUGGUUGUGGCUCAGAGUAGAGCGCCCGCCUAGCUCAUGCGAGGCCCUGGGUUCGAUUCUCAUCACCACA
rnacentral:tRNA from 1 species